UUAGCUAACUUCGGAUGUUUACAGAGGGGUGAAAGAGCACUUGUAAAUUUGUCCGAUGAACUCUCAAACUGGUGAAAGAGACUGGGUAUAUUCAACUGAAAUUGGAAAUACUUGCAUUAUCUGUAAUGGACCCAUUUGACGCCACCUCUCCGCGCAAGGUUCUGGAGCGAAGUCUCUACUCUGCUGGGAUGCAGCCCGACAUCGAAUGAAGUAGCCACAUAUCUAGACAAUCACGACGAACUAAAGCACCUACGUGAACAGUUUCUAUUACCCAAAGUUGCAGAACUCCCUCCUUCUGACCUUACGCUU